rnacentral:rRNA from 1 species
CCUACGGGAGACAGCAGUGGGGAAUAUUGGGCAAUGGGCGCAAGCCUGACCCAGCAACGCCGCGUGAAGGAAGAAGGCUUUCGGGUUGUAAACUUCUUUUCUGAGGGACGAAGAACGUGACGGUACCUCAGGAAUAAGCCACGGCUAACUACGUGCCAGCAGCCGCGGUAAUACGUAGGUGGCAAGCGUUAUCCGGAUUUAUUGGGUGUAAAGGGCGUGUAGGCGGGAAAGCAAGUCAGAUGUGAAAACUCAGGGCUCAACCCUGAGCCUGCAUUUGAAACUGUUUUUCUUGAGUGCUGGGGAGGCAAUCGGAAUUCCGUGUGUAGCGGUGAAAUGCGUAGAUAUAUGGAAGAACACCAGUGGCGAAGGCGGCUCUCUGGUCUGCAACUGACGCUGAGGCUCGAAAGCAUGGGUAGCGAACAGGAUUAGAUACCCGUGUAGUC